UGCUUAUAAUGAUUAUAAUUGUACGAUCCAUAUCGUACAUCAAGCAGUUUUAGGGUUUUUAAGGAGU